UGGAAAAUGUACAUUUGGAUUGAAAAUCGAUACCUUGGUUAUGUCCAUGACAGACGACAGUUCCAGUGGCAUUUCAAUACGAUUUCUGGCUCCGGCUGGUAGAUUGGCUGUUGGUUACUAAUGAAGAUGUGCGCAAGAUUUUAGAGAGACAUGGAAACCGAGAGCCUUACUUGGAAUGAACAAGAAUCUCCUAAAGGGGAGACAGAAGACCGAUGUACUGUACAAUUUCUGUCCGUUUCAAACUCGUCCCUUGUUCAGUCGAAAUGUAGUUUGACAGAAAACAACUCUGAAAAUAAUAGGAAUGUCGAAGCAAGAACAAACAACAGAAAACCGCAGAAUUACAUGUGUUUAGCUUUGAUCACUAUGCUUUGCAACUGUCCUUUCGGUUGCGCAGCAACUGUUUUCUCUCUCCUGUCGUCAAAGAGUUUCAUUGAAGGCAAGCAGAAGGAGGCUGCCCAGAGAGGAAACAUUUCUAAAUGGAUCUCGAUCGUUGGACUCGCUGUAUCUGUUGUCGUGAUUCUGUUCAUCAUUGUCUAUGUGGUCGCCAUUGUCCCUAAUGUGAUCGAUAAUGCACAUGACCUUCUGAACCAUUGAAGAGACGGUCAGUAACAUUGAAAAUUAAAGAUGGAGGAAAAAAACUAAUCAGUGAUGAUAAAUGAAGGAUCAUAUUUUUUUUUGAAUUUGUAAACGUCUCAAUACUAUUAUCUGAAAUGGGAUUUGUAUUAUCAUUGUUGAAAUAAUAUACAUGUAAAAGUAUAUGAAACAAGAUCAGUUUGUCGUUCUGCUAAUAUUAAAACAUAUUUAUCUAGAAA